AUUCACGCUGGCGGCGUGCAUAACACAUGCAAGUCGCACGAUGAAACUUAACUGAUUUCUUCGGAAUGAUUUUAAGUGGAUUAGUGGCGGACGGGUGAGUAACGCGUGAGUAACCUGCCUUGGAGAAGGGGAUAGCCUUUGGAAACGAAGAAUAAUACCCUAUGAUAUGAUAAUAUCUCAUGAUAUUAUCAUCAAAGAUUUAUCGCUCUAAGAUGGACUUGCGUCUGAUUAGUUAGUUGGUGAGGUAACAGCUCACCAAGGCAGCGAUCAGUAGCCGGCUUGAGAGAGUGUACGGCCACAUUGGGACUGAGACACGGCCCAGACUCCUACGGGAGGCAGCAGUGGGGAAUUUUGCACAAUGGGGGAAACCCUGAUGCAGCGACGCCGCGUGAUUUAGAAGGCCUUCGGGUUGUAAAAAUCUUUUGUAUGGGAAGAAAAUGACAGUACCAUACGAAUAAGGACCGGCUAAUUACGUG
rnacentral:rRNA from 1 species